GCUUUGGCAGACCCGGCUUCGGCCCACCGGCUCCGGCUGGUCAGUGUCUGCCAGAGGACCUAAAACUCUGUUUGUUAAUAUUGUCUGAGUACUAUAUAAUAGUUAAAACUUUCAACAACGGAUCUCUUGGUUCUGGCAUCGAUGAAGAACGCAGCGAAAUGCGAUAAGUAAUGUGAAUUGCAGAAUUCAGUGAAUCAUCGAAUCUUUGAACGCACAUUGCGCCCUCUGGUAUUCCGGGGGGCAUGCCUGUUCGAGCGUCAUUACAACCCUCAAGCUUUGCUUGGUAUUGGACAUUGCCAGUUUCUGGCAGGUCUUAAAAUCAGUGGCGGUGCCAUUUGGCUUCAAGCGUAGUAAUUCUUCUCGCUUUGGAGAUCCAGGUGGUUACUUGCCAAUAACCCCCAAUUUUUUCAGGUUGACCUCGGAUCAGGUAGGGAUACCCGCUGAACUUAAGCAUAUCAAUAAGCGGAGGA
rnacentral:rRNA from 1 species